rnacentral:tRNA from 1 species
UGGCUCAGACGGUAGAGCGUCUGCCUACAAUGUGGGAGACCCAGGUUCAAUCCCUGG